AACAAUACAUCUUUAGAUGGUUCUUGGGGCAAGUAGUCCCCUUGUACUUGUCAAAGUCUGACACCUUGAACUUGGGAGGGGUGAUGAUAUUGGGUACUAGGAACAACUCUUCUAGGUUAGCAAAGGCAUAAUCUUCACUUCCUUCAAUGUCCCUGAGCCUUUCCUCUAGAUGAUCCAACUCUCCCAUUUUUGCCAUAGCAUGAGGGUUUUUACCCGGUGUGGAAUGCAAGGGGUGUGGUUGUGGGUGAUACUGAGGGCCCUCCAAAGUGUUUUGU
rnacentral:misc_RNA from 1 species